CCCUUAGAGUUUGAUCCUGGCUCAGAAUCAACGCUGGCGGCGUGCCUCAGACAUGCAAGUCGAACGCGAAAGCCUCCUUCGGGGGGCAAGUAGAGUGGCGCACGGGUGAGUAACACGUAGGUAAUCUACCUUUGGAUUGGGAAUAACCACCGGAAACGGUGGCUAAUACCGAAUAAUGCAGCGGCACCUAAUGGUGACAGUUGUUAAAGCGGGGGAUCGAAAGACCUCGCGUCUGAAGAGGAGCCUGCGGCAGAUUAGCUAGUUGGUAAGGUAACGGCUUACCAAGGCGAUGAUCUGUAGCCGGCCUGAGAGGGCGGUCGGCCACACUGACACUGACAUACGGGUCAGACUCCUACGAGAGGCAGCAGUCGGGAAUUUUGGGCAAUGGGCGAAAGCCUGACCCAGCAACGCCGCGUGAAGGAUGAAAUCCUUCGGGAUGUAAACUUCGCAAGAACGGGAAGAAUAAGUAAGGGUUAAUAUCUCUUACGAUGACGGUACUGUUUGUAAGCUCCGGCUAACUCCGUGCCAGCAGCCGCGGUAAUACGGGGGGAGCAAGCGUUGUUCGGAUUUACUGGGCGUAAAGGGCGCGUAGGCGGCCACCGCAAGUCGACUGUGAAAUCUCCGGGCUUAACCCGGAAAGGUCAGCCGAUACUGCGGGGCUAGAGUGCAGAAGGGGCAACUGGAAUUCUCGGUGUAGCGGUGAAAUGCGUAGAUAUCGAGAGGAACACCUGCGGCGAAAGCGGGUUGCUGGGCUGACACUGACGCUGAGCGCGAAAGCUAGGGAGCGAACGGGAUAGAUACCCCGGUAGUCUAGCCUAAACGAUGAAUGCUUGGUGUCUGGGGUUUAUAGUCCCCGGUGCCGUCGCUACGCUUAAGCAUCCGCCUGGGGAGUACGUCGCAGACUGA
rnacentral:rRNA from 1 species